UACCCGCGCCCCUAGUGGUGGUCGAUAUUAUUGAGCCUAAAACGUCCGUAGCCGGUCUUCUAAAUCCUUGGGUAAAUCGGGCAGCUUAACUGUCCGAAGUCCGGGGAGACUGGAAGACUUGGGACCGGGAGAGGUCAGAGGUACUUCUGGGGUAGGGGUAAAAUCCUGUAAUCCUGGAAGGACCACCGGUGGCGAAGGCGUCUGACUAGAACGGAUCCGACGGUGAGGGACGAAGCCCUGGGGCGCAAACGGG
rnacentral:rRNA from 1 species